ensembl:lncRNA
CUGGAUUUUGGUUGAUUUUUUUGUGAAUGUUCUUAAGAAACAUUUUUAACAUUUCUUUUUUUCCACCAGAAAUGUUCAAAGAUUUCCCAAAAAAUGUCGAAAAUGUGGACAUCAGGAGUUUCACUGCGAAUUUUUUUUCUCCACAUUUUCAAACUUUAAACCGGAUCAAUUUUGACAGGAGGGUUAACAAAUAUUGACACCUAAGUAUCUAAAGUAAUGUUCUACUACUUCUUUUUCAGUUUUUUUGCGACGGUCAGUAUUCAGCUUUAAAAACACUGGCUGAAAAUCUUGUUUUUGCUGAAUUUUACUAGUUAAAAUACAGCAAAGCAACCCUUUUUUCAGCCUUCGAGGUUCAUAUCAGAUCAUUAGUGUCAUUAAUUCUUUUCUCCCGGUGGAAUUUAAAGCCAGCGGUUUGUUACAAGGGGAGCAGUUGACAUUAGCGGGACUCAGACGGCGUUCAUCUCGUAUUUACAGUAUUCUGUGUAGUGCAUCGACAUGCUGCCAUCAUCAUCAUCACCAUCUGUAGAUAUGUAUUGGAAAAUGUAAUUUAUAUGAUGUAAUGUUUCUCAUUCUAAUAUGCUAAUCAGUAUCAGUGUCGUGUCACGGUUUUGAAUCCACACUUUGUGCUGUUAACCCGUAUUUGUUUAAUAGUUUAUAGGAAACUCGCACUGGAAAAAGUACUUGUGGCUGAUGUUUUCGUUGAGAGUAACGCGCAACAUGUAGCCGUUUGAAUUUAGCUGUAUAUUUAUCAUGGUUUGGUUGGCAUUGGGUUUACAGUUUCACCAAGUGAUUUUCUAUCUCUCUUUCAGUGUGUGUGAGAUUUAGUUUCUUUAUCUACUAUAACCCUGAGUGUGUCUAUUUCUUGUAUGGCGAGGUGUGUGUGUGUGUGUGUGUGUGUGUGUGUGUGUGUGCGUGCGUGCGUGCGUGCGUGCGUGCGUGCGUGCGUGUGUGUGGUGUGUGUGAGAGAGAGAGCGAGCGAGCGUGUCGACUUUGUGGAUCCCGUUGUAUUCAACUUUGGUCAGUAUUAAGUUGUGGCUUUUUGAAAGUUCUUGCUUUGAAAGCUGUACAUUUAUUUAGUGAAUGUAUGUUUUCCAGCGCUCUGAAACUCUUACUUUACCUUCUCCGAACUGAUAUUGUUGACUGUAAAUACUAAAUUGUAAUACCAUCUAGCUUACACAUGGGGUCACUAGACACUCAAGAAGUAUUUCACCAUGCUGUCUACUAUUGACUAAGUCACCAUCAGUGGUCUUAUUAUCAAUAAAUAUACAGAAUAACA